CGAGCCCUGACCCGCGGAGGAGGACCUUCCGUCUGCAGUUGUGCGCCUCCACUAGCCCAAGGAAGUGGAUGCGAGUCCUAGGAGUUCAAAAGGGAUUGGUUUCACUUUUGUUUCCCUAUAGGAGAACGUCGUUCUCCCCGUUCUUUAACUGUCGAACUUUUAAGAGGACUGUUUAAAUUGGCAUUCUUUGGAGCCUCCACCCCACUGCCCGUUCCCGAUUAUUAAGUGCUUUGAGAAGGACUUCUUGCCAGGUGGAGAGCUAAUUGCCUGAAAUUGUCUGGAGCUAUAAUGCCUGUGGAAGGGGCCCGCUCAAGCCCUUUAUUUUCUUGAGAAGUAUCAAUCCACCACUCCCGUUGGGCUAUAAUUAAAUGCUUUCGAGAAGACUGUUUCCCUCGAAGAGAAUGUAUAAUUUUA